GCGGGCGUAGCUCAAUGGUAGAGCCCCAGCCUUCCAAGCUGGCCAUGCGGGUUCGAUUCCCGUCGCCCGCUCCA
rnacentral:tRNA from 1 species